GGGGAAUAUUGGACAAUGGGCGAAAGCCUGAUCCAGCCAUGCCGCGUGUGUGAAGAAGGCCUUCGGGUUGUAAAGCACUUUCAGUAGGGAGGAAGGGUGUUGUGUUAAUAGCACAGCAUUUUGACGUUACCUACAGAAGAAGCACCGGCUAACUCUGUGCCAGCAGCCGCGGUAAUACAGAGGGUGCAAGCGUUAAUCGGAAUUACUGGGCGUAAAGCGCACGUAGGCGGUUUUUUAAGUCAGAUGUGAAAGCCCCGGGCUCAACCUGGGAAUUGCAUUUGAAACUGGAAAACUAGAGUGUGUGAGAGGGGGGUAGAAUUCCAAGUGUAGCGGUGAAAUGCGUAGAGAUUUGGAGGAAUACCAGUGGCGAAGGCGGCCCCCUGGCACAACACUGACGCUCAGGUGCGAAAGCGUGGGGAGCAAAC
rnacentral:rRNA from 1 species